rnacentral:lncRNA from 1 species
AGGUAACCUGCGUCGCCGGUCGGAGGCAGGCGCGGGGGACGAGGUCAGGCUCCGUGAGGUCAGAAGUGAGGCGCUUCCCACGUCCCGCUCAUGGGGACGCCCGCCACCCUUUUCUUGGUCUGCGAAUCCUGUUCCCAAAUGGGCAAGGCCACAUCUUAGUACUGAUCGGAAGAUAUUCUUUCUCUUUUUUAAAAACCUCCAGUGAGUCAGCCAUAUGGUGCUGCUCCUGUGCCUGCUGAGGACGUGUGUCCAGUUUCCUAUCACCCUUGCCUCUUAAUUAGUCCGCCUCGCUGUGUAUAAGACUGAUAGUAAGAACUUUCAGAAGAUGAGAUCAAAUAUUAAACCUGCUAAGUUGCUACUCUUUGAUUAUGACAAGGUGGAACUAGCCAAUAUGAAUAGACUUUUCUUCCAACCUCAUCAAGCAGGAUUAAGUAAAGUUCAAGCAGCAGAACAUACUCUGAGGAACAUUAAUCCUGAUGUUCUUUUUGAAGUACACAACUAUAAUAUAACCACAGUGGAAAACUUUCAACAUUUCAUGGAUAGAAUAAGUAAUGGUGGGUUAGAAGAAGGAAAACCUGUUGAUCUAGUUCUUAGCUGUGUGGACAAUUUUGAAGCUCGAAUGACAAUAAAUACAGCUUGUAAUGAACUUGGACAAAC